AGUAUAAAUUGUGUCUAUGUUACGGCCAUAGAAUGGAUACUUUUGUAUCUUAUACUU
rnacentral:tRNA from 1 species